CAUGCUCAGGACGAACGCUGGCGGCGUGCCUAAUACAUGCAAGUCGAGCGGACAGAUGGGAGCUUGCUCCCUGAUGUUAGCGGCGGACGGGUGAGUAACACGUGGGUAACCUGCCUGUAAGACUGGGAUAACUCCGGGAAACCGGGGCUAAUACCGGAUGGUUGUUUGAACCGCAUGGUUCAGACAUAAAAGGUGGCUUCGGCUACCACUUACAGAUGGACCCGCGGCGCAUUAGCUAGUUGGUGAGGUAACGGCUCACCAAGGCAACGAUGCGUAGCCGACCUGAGAGGGUGAUCGGCCACACUGGGACUGAGACACGGCCCAGACUCCUACGGGAGGCAGCAGUAGGGAAUCUUCCGCAAUGGACGAAAGUCUGACGGAGCAACGCCGCGUGAGUGAUGAAGGUUUUCGGAUCGUAAAGCUCUGUUGUUAGGGAAGAACAAGUGCCGUUCAAAUAGGGCGGCACCUUGACGGUACCUAACCAGAAAGCCACGGCUAACUACGUGCCAGCAGCCGCGGUAAUACGUAGGUGGCAAGCGUUGUCCGGAAUUAUUGGGCGUAAAGGGCUCGCAGGCGGUUUCUUAAGUCUGAUGUGAAAGCCCCCGGCUCAACCGGGGAGGGUCAUUGGAAACUGGGGAACUUGAGUGCAGAAGAGGAGAGUGGAAUUCCACGUGUAGCGGUGAAAUGCGUAGAGAUGUGGAGGAACACCAGUGGCGAAGGCGACUCUCUGGUCUGUAACUGACGCUGAGGAGCGAAAGCGUGGGGAGCGAACAGGAUUAGAUACCCUGGUAGUCCACGCCGUAAACGAUGAGUGCUAAGUGUUAGGGGGUUUCCGCCCCUUAGUGCUGCAGCUAACGCAUUAAGCACUCCGCCUGGGGAGUACGGUCGCAAGACUGAAACUCAAAGGAAUUGACGGGGGCCCGCACAAGCGGUGGAGCAUGUGGUUUAAUUCGAAGCAACGCGAAGAACCUUACCAGGUCUUGACAUCCUCUGACAAUCCUAGAGAUAGGACGUCCCCUUCGGGGGCAGAGUGACAGGUGGUGCAUGGUUGUCGUCAGCUCGUGUCGUGAGAUGUUGGGUUAAGUCCCGCAACGAGCGCAACCCUUGAUCUUAGUUGCCAGCAUUCAGUUGGGCACUCUAAGGUGACUGCCGGUGACAAACCGGAGGAAGGUGGGGAUGACGUCAAAUCAUCAUGCCCCUUAUGACCUGGGCUACAAACGUGCUACAAUGGAC
rnacentral:rRNA from 1 species